GGAUUAGGCAUGCAAGUCGAACGCGUGUAGCAAUACACGAGUGGCAAACGGGAGAGUAACACAUUGGUAACCUGCUUCCAACCGGAGCAUAACUCAUCGAAAGGUGGGAUAAUUCUCCAUUAAUUGCACAGUCGCAUGGCUGUGCAAUAAAGAUUUAUCGGUUGGAAAGGGGCCUAUGGUCUAUCAGCUAGUUGGCAGUGUAAAAGACUACCAAGGCUAUGACGGAUAGCGGGUGUGAGAGCAUGACCCGUCUCACUGGGACUGAGAUACUGCCCAGACACCUACGGGAGGCUGCAGUCGAGAAUCUUCCGCAAUGGACGAAAGUCUGACGGAGCGACGCCGCGUGGGGGAUGAAGGCCUUCGGGUUGUAAACCUCUGUCAUCCGGGACGAAAACAAUGACGGUACCGGAAAAGGAAGCCACGGCUAACCACGUGCCAGCAGCCGCGGUAAUA
rnacentral:rRNA from 1 species